CAAAUGAAUAACCACACUGAAAGGGGGAAAAAGAAAUCUGAGUAGUUUAUGAAUACCCAUUAGACCAUAUUCCAUUAGACUUAGGUAGCGUGGGAGUCAGGAAGGACUUAAACACUAAACUCUUUUUACUGGGUUUGUUUUUGUACAGCAUGGACACAGAAGGAUUCUGAAAUGAUUUUAGAUAUUUCGUGGUAUUGAGCAAAUCAGUAAACACAUUGUUGUUGAGAUCCAGAGUUCUCACUGUGGAGAAGAAAGUUACAAAUACAGAAAGAGAGAAGACAUGGAUGUAAGAAGAAUGGACUGCAAUUGGAGGUACUAGCUGCCAUGCUGUGAGCAGCCCUAUGGAGAGGACCAUGUGGUGAAGAUAUGAGAGAAACUUCUGGUCAACAGCCAGUGAAGUACUGAAUCCUGCCAACAACCAUGUGAGUGAGCAGGAAAGUGGAUCCUCCCCACACUGAGCCUUCAGAUGAGACCACAGCCCUAGCCUACACAUUGAUUAUAACCUGGUCAAAGGACCCAGCUAGGCCACAUGCAUACACCUAACUCACAGAAACUGAGAUCAUAAAUGUUUGCUACUUUCAACUGCUAAGUUUUGAAGUAACUUGUUAUGUAUCUAUAGAUAACUAACACACCAUGUUCCUUGACAAAACUGGAAGCUGCAUAGUAGAUUAUAUUAAAGUAUUAUAUCAAUGUUAAA
rnacentral:lncRNA from 1 species